ensembl:snoRNA Small nucleolar RNA SNORD66
CUCCAGUGAUGACCUCCGUUUUGUGCCACGUGUCUGGGCCACUGACCUACACUGAUGGGAAUGAGGAACUGAGGAG